rnacentral:rRNA from 1 species
CGAAGCGUGCGAUUGGAUUGCACGUCUAAGCAGUAAGGCUGAGUAUUAGGCAAAUCCGGUACUCAUUAAGGCUGAGCUGUGAUGGGGAGAAGACAUUGUGUCUUCGAGUCGUUGAUUUCACACUGCCGAGAAAAGCCUCUAGAUAGAAAAUAGGUGCCCGUACCGCAAACCGACACAGGUAGUCAAGAUGAGAAUUCUAAGGUGAGCGAGCGAACUCUCGUUAAGGAACUCGGCAAAAUGACCCCGUAACUUCGGGAGAAGGGGUGCUCUUUAGGGUUAACGCCCAGAAGAGCCGCAGUGAAUAGGCCCAAGCGACUGUUUAUCAAAAACACAGGUCUCUGCUAAACCGUAAGGUGAUGUAUAGGGGCUGACGCCUGCCCGGUGCUGGAAGGUUAAGAGGAGUGGUUAGCUUCUGCGAAGCUACGAAUCGAAGCCCCAGUAAACGGCGGCCGUAACUAUAACGGUCCUAAGGUAGCGAAAUUCCUUGUCGGGUAAGUUCCGACCCGCACGAAAGGCGUAACGAUUUGGGCACUGUCUCAACGAGAGACUCGGUGAAAUCAUAGUACCUGUGAAGAUGCAGGUUACCCGCGACAGGACGGAAAGACCCCGUGGAGCUUUACUGUAGCCUGAUAUUGAAAUUCGGCACAGCUUGUACAGGAUAGGUAGGAGCCUUUGAAACGUGAGCGCUAGCUUACGUGGAGGCGCUGGUGGGAUACUACCCUAGCUGUGUUGGCUUUCUAACCCGCACCACUUAUCGUGGUGGGAGACAGUGUCAGGCGGGCAGUUUGACUGGGGCGGUCGCCUCCUAAAAGGUAACGGAGGCGCUCAAAGGUUCCCUCAGAAUGGUUGGAAAUCAUUCAUAGAGUGUAAAGGCAUAAGGGAGCUUGACUGCGAGACCUACAAGUCGAGCAGGGUCGAAAGACGGACUUAGUGAUCCGGUGGUUCCGCAUGGAAGGGCCAUCGCUCAACGGAUAAAAGCUACCCCGGGGAUAACAGGCUUAUCUCCCCCAAGAGUUCACAUCGACGGGGAGGUUUGGCACCUCGAUGUCGGCUCAUCGCAUCCUGGGGCUGUAGUCGGUCCCAAGGGUUGGGCUGUUCGCCCAUUAAAGCGGUACGCGAGCUGGGUUCAGAACGUCGU